rnacentral:rRNA from 1 species
CGCUGGCGGCGCACAUAAGACAUGCAAGUCGAACGAACUAAUUCAUCUUUUAGAUUGGAAGCGGGUUAGUGGCGGACUGGUGAGUAAUGAUAAGUAACCUGCCUAUCAGAGGGGAAUAACAGUGAGAAAUCAUUGCUAAUACCGCAUAUGCUAACAGAUUCGCAUGAAUUAGUUAGGAAAGGAGCAAUCCGCUGAUAGAUGGACUUAUAUCUGAUUAGCCUGGUUGGUGGGCAACGGCCUACCAAAGCUACGAUCAGUAGCCGGACUGAGAGGUUGAACGGCCACAUUGGGACUGAGAUACGGCCCAGACUCCUACGGGAGGCAGCAGUCGGGAAUAUUGCGCAAUGGAGGAAACUCUGACGCAGUGACGCCGCGUAUAGGAAGAAGGUUUUCGGAUUGUAAACUAUUGUCGUUAGGGAAGAUACAAGACAGUACCUAAGGAGGAAGCCCCGGCUAACUAUGUGCCAGCCGCAGC